AUGAAGCGUAUACAACACAUCUUGUUCGUAAUUACCUGUCGCUCGGUGGUCGAUUUACAAACAAUAUAGUGGGUGCGCGUGUUCGUGUGCGUUAAUUUGAUUACAGACAUGGCAAAUAACGGUAAUUCUAAGUGUAAAUCAUGUCUGAUUGCGGGCGAGGAGGUGGAAGAGAAAACAUUAUUUGGAGGAGGUGGUUGAUAUUGACGUCGAUUUGGUCAUGCUACAACUAAUAAUAAAACGUUGUCAACUAAUAUUCACAGUGAGAAUUUUCAUCAACAACUGAUAAAGAUCGGAAAGUGUAUUUUUACAUUUUAGAGACCUACAUUUUUUUUUGUCGUUGUUAUUAACUAAGUAGGAAAUGGAGUUUGUUCGUUCAUAAUGUUGUUUCAAUUAUGAAAACAACAUUUAAUAACUUAGUGUCAUUAAUUUACAUUAUUUUUCUUUAACGCACAAGUUGUUGUGUCGGGGAUAUCAGUAAUAAAGGAAACACCUACACUAAUGGUUUCAUAAUUAAAUUGUCUGGAAUCUUUAUACAACGAAAAAGCUCCAGAGUAAUUGCUCUAAUUAAAUCUGUCGAUGCCCAAACGAACUUCUUGUAAAUGUUAUCUUAAUGUUUAAUAAUAGUCAAUUAAACGGCGACUCCCCUAUUAAUUAAAAUAUCAACUGAAUGAUUUUAGUUGUAAAUAGGCAAAAAAUUCGAAAUACGCUCAAACAGUUAACUUUUUAAUUAAGACACAAAAAACACAAUGUUUGCAAUUUCAACUUAUUGAUCACUAUACCUGCAGCUGCCGUAUUACGCCCAACAUUAAAACUUUUAAUAAAGAAUUUUAUAAUGGACCUGUAGAUGAAAGUUUGUAGACAGUUUAGCAAAAUUAGAACAAGCGUUGCAUAGAAUUAUGUUGAAAAUGUACAUUCGGGGUGCUAAAAUUAUUUAUUCUAAAAGUUAAUGGUAUUCAUUACCCCACACUGUUUGACAUUAUUUUUGUACUUUUAUCCGUAAUUUGCAAACAUCUUCAACUAUCUCCUACUUUACAAUAAAAUGCAAUUAUUCAAUUGAUGGACAUUCUGCCUAUUAUACAAGCCAGAGCCAGUUAAUCAAUUAUGUUGUGUCCCAAGCAUGACUUUACGUUCCAAAUUCAAUUUUAUUAAUGACAUUUGUAGAUCGUCUGUGGCCAAUUUUAAAAGUCCUGCCCCACAUACAAUCUUACAAUAAAUGAAUGCGAUUUAUUUACAAAGCUUCAUCCCAAUUUGUGGAAAUUCAUCAUUAAGCUGUGAAACUUUAAACUGAAGAAAACUCACCUGUAGUUGGCGUUUUCACAUCAUUACUGCGUCAUGAUCCUGAAAUAACAACAUUGAACUGGAAUUACAAAAGAAAACACUACAAUAGGUAAUAAGAAAAAUUCAAAAGGUUUAGAUUUUCGUUACGUAACCGACACAGCGCAUUGCAGGAUUAUGAUUAAGCAAUGCGGAAUACUAACUACGCUGAAGUUUUUUGCCAUUGUGGCAAUGUAUGGACUGAAUUAAGGAAAUCAUAUUGAAACGGCUUUGUGCAUUACGUUGAUUACGUUAUGUCAUUAUAAUCACGUCAGAUAGCGAAUUCUUGAGAGAAUGAGCUAAUUCCUGUGUAUGUAUAUUAAGUUGUCGGAUUCCUGCUGCUUGGCGACAGUUCAUGGAAAAUACAUUAAGGGAAUUACAAAGUGAACGUUUUAAUAAUUGUUGUAUGUACAAGGAACCAUUCAACAACUAAUUAGUUAAUCAAAUUUUUUAAAACUGUGACACAUUCUUGUGUGGAAAAUUCCAAACUAUACCAAGCAUGUUUGCAAAACGUUCCUAAAUGCAACUCACAUAUUUCAAGCUCUUGAAAUAUGUAGUGACCAGACCGGAAGAGUGCAACAUUUAUGGGGCAGCCAGGGAAUUAAAAUUACACAGUCCAUGCAACAACAACAACCGUAAUUUUUAUUAUAACGUAUGAAGUGCCGUAUGUAAAUUAUGUUUAAUAAAUUCGCUACUGUUAACUCUAGACAACCAAAAAACUUAUUUGCUGUUUAGACCUGUGACAAUAAAAUUUGUAAAUGUUGAAAAUA